CUGGAAAGAUGCUCUAGUGAGGUCUGGAGAAUCCAUUGAGAUUUCUGUUGAUGAUGUGGCCAUUGAUGGGUUAAGGAUAUCUGAAGAUUUAGGUUUCACUAUGCAUGUUGGGGAUGGAGCGUGGAGGACAAGCCUAAAUAUGAAAAAAUGAGAGAAUUUGUUGUGUGGGAUAGCUUAAGCUGCUACAAGUUCAUUUUUCAAGAGGUUGAUUUAUCACUCAAAAGCGAGGGGCGCCUGGGUGGCUCAGUCGGUUAAACGCCCGACCUCAGCACAGGUCAUGAUCUCAUAGUCUGUGGGUUCAAGCUGUGCUGACAGCUCAGAGCCUGGAGCCUGCUUCCGAUUCUGUGUCUCCCUCUCUCCCUCUGUACCUCCCUCUGCUCACGCUCUGUCUCUCUCUCCCUCAAAAAUACACAUUAAAAAAAAAUUUUUUUUUAAAGGUGAUAGGAACAUGAAAUUAGUGCAUGCUGUCACCAAGUGGUGGUACUAAUUCGGAAGAAAAGUAAAAUUUUGGUCAUUAGGUGUGCUCAGCUGGACGAAACUAGCAAAUUUUGCUCUUGAUCUGAAAUCAACAGUCAGAUGCUUAACCCAGGUGCCCCUAACAGCAAGCUUUAAAAUAUAAGAUUAAGGAAUAGUUUAAUAAUUAUUAUAAGUUUGGACAAUUUAUAUCACAAUGAAGAAUGUGCAAGUCAUGUUCUCAUGUUAUGUUCUCACACCCACAUGAGCAAAGCAUGUUAUCAGACUUUUUGUUCCUGUUAAUCAAAAAUUUUAUUUUGCCUUUCUCAUAUGAUGCCUGAGAUUGAGUAACUUUUCAUCUGAUUUUAUUUUUUUGGUGACUUGUGCCCUUGUAUUUUGCCCAUUUCUCUAUGAAGCUAAUGACAUUUUAAAAUUGAUUUGUAGAAGCUCUUUAUAUAUUAGGGUAAUUGGCUCUUUAGCUGAGAUACGAAUUGCAAAUAUUGUUUCCGGUGUCUUUUUACCUUGCUUUUGAUGGUUUUUCCCAUGUAAAAUUUUCUUAUCGUUUGGGUUUUUGUGUUAUAAAGACAUUCCCUUCUCUAAGGACUAUAAAAGAAAAUUAUUGCAUGGUUUUCUUUUAGUACUUUUAUUGUUUAUCUUUUCUUUUUAAGUAUAUGAUCAACCUAGAGUCUGUGAAAUAGUGUUCUCCGUUUAAUUUGUCAGUUGCUGCUUGUCCAAACAUCAUUUAUUCAAUAAUGUACUUUAAAUGUCACCUAUCACUUGGGUUCUGCUUUGCCCAGGACUAUCCUGGUUUUUACUUGUUGUCCUGGCUUAGUUUUGAAUUGUGUUCCCUUUCAUUCUCCAGUGUGGCCUGGUUUGAAUAAUAAAUUACACGUUUACCUUCCUACUCAUGAUAACGAAUACGAUACCCUUGACCAAAAUUGACCCAUGUUAAAUUUUACUCCACUGGCUUACUUGUUUGUGCUCUCUCCCUAUAUUUCUUUUUUCUAUUAUUAUUCUUUUAACAUUUAUUUAUUUUUAAGAGAGCAAGACAGAGCACGAGCUGGGGAGGGGCAGAGGUGGGGGUGGGGUGGGGGUAGGAGACAGAGAAUCCAAAGCAAGCUCCAGGCCCUGAGCUGUCAGCACAGAGCCCAACGCGGGGCUUGAACUCACAGACCUCGAGAUCAUGACCUGAGCCAAAGUCAGAUGCUUAACUGACUGAGCCACCCAGGGCGCCCCCCACCCCUCCUAUAUUUCUUAAGAGUAGGAAUAGUCUCUUUCGUAGCCUCGGUAUUUUCCUUGAAGCAAUAUUUUUAUCUAAUCUACUGUCAUACUACAAUUUUGUCAGUUGCCCUAAUAAUCCCCCUUAUAGCAUCCCUGUGCCUCCCCAAGCGCCUCUCUCCCUGCCGCCCCACCAAGUUUAUGGUCAGAUCCAGUUUAUGGUCAAGCAUUGGAUUUACUUGUCGUGUCUCUUUGGCUUCCUUUAAGCUAGAAUUGUUUCCCUUUUAUGGCGUUGACACUUUUGAAGAAUACGGUUUUCCCCUACCUUUUUAUUCCAGAACAUUCUUCAUUUUCUGUGAAUCACAGCCAUUCUUAAUUACAGAGCUCCACUGCCUCAGUGGGGGCUGAACAAGAAUCGAUAGCCGUAUCUCCUCCAUAAUCUUCCCAGAGAACUGGAUCUCAGGCUCCCUGAAUGGAUCUGGUCAGUGAAGUGAGUGAGGGAAGGCUUCACACACUGGCUCUGGGACCCCACUCUUUCCCCAUCCACCUUUGAUCACUCUCUUCUAGAAAGUCCUUGGCUUGGCAAUUGGUUGAUCCCAAGUCUUGGGUCAGAGGGAUGGAUGUGGUAGGUUCUGAAAUGGGGAGAGUCUUUUCAAAACUAUGGGGCCAGAAGCAUUAUGGUACCCACUGACCUGGCCUCGCUCUGUCUGAUGUCCCUUCCCGCCUCCCUCCUGCCCUUCCCUAGCCUCCCAAGCCUCUCUAAUCACAACCACCGGACUCGCUCUGUAUCACCUAAAGUCAUUCCAGGUGCCUCCAGGGACACAGGACCCCACCCCGCCCCCAUUAAGAAUCAUGUCCCCUUGGGGUACCUGGAUGGCUCAGUUGGUUGAGCGUCCAACUUUGGCUCAGGUCGUGAUCUUGCGGUUUGUGAGUUUGAGCCCCGCGUCGGGCUCUGUGCUGACAGCUCAGAGCCUGGAGCCUGCUUCAGAUUCUGUCUCCCUCUCUCUCUGCCUCUCCCCAGCUCACACUUGGCCUCUCUCUGUCUCUCAACUAAAUAAACAUUUUUAAAAAAUGUAAAAAGAAUCAUGCCUCCUUACGAUCUCUCAGUACGUCUCUCUCUAAGGCCUCAAUAAACUGUUUUCCCAAGUCAGACUCAGAGCAUUCUUGGACCAAAUGGCAUGAUCCUCGUCUGAACAAAAACUUCUUCUUUCUUACAUGACUGCCCCAAAAUAUUUGUGCCCCAUUAGGAUUGGAGAAAGAUCUCCUCCAGACAGCCAUCCCAGGGAGCCUGGAGGAACCCUGGUAAAUGUAGCUUUUGCUCACCAGCCCACGUUGCUGUAAGGGCCUCGCUGGAAGAAAUCGUGGCAGGAGUCUCUCCCCGUGGACUAGUCUCUAUAUGGCUCCCCACUCUGCUUUGCUUAUUAUGGAGCCUGCUUCUGCUUCUCCCCAUCUGUGUCCUGAAGGAGUCCCAGCCUGCACGACCCCCCAGUUUGCCGCCCACUGAUUGCUUUCUUGUUUGACCCUUGAUCUUGUAGAUGAGCACAUGCUGAGUCCCCACUCCACGGAGCCCGCAUGAACCUCUGGACCUCUGACCGACCUGCCCACUUCUUUCCUAAAUUUUGACUUCUGAAAAGAUCAACACAGCUAAACCACUUCAACCUGGCAGGGAGAGGCCCCUGCCUUGGCAUAACCCUACCCACUGGAGCCCUGACUUAGCAGAAGUUCUCAUCAUGGGAGAUCCAGGAAAGUCUCUGAAAGAAGAUGCCGAGGUUCCCAGGAACACCUUUCCUGAGUCUGUGCUAUGACUAGGGCAUCUUUGUUUUAUGCACCUACGUGAAGCAGACAUUUUUGGCAAUGCCUUUAUUCUACAGAACGCCAGCUAGGUCUGGGGCUAAGAAAAGCACCAUGUUUAUAUGCCCACUAAUUUUCUCAAUCAUGAGCAAAUUAUUUGCUCCUCGCCCCGUGAAAAAAUGAACUUUCUCUUUUGAGAGUUUGGAGAAAAUAAAAAAGCGAAAUUAACCAGUCAAAGAGAGCUUGGACAAUAAAGUGAACAAAGACAUUUGCUUUCCAAAAGCGUGUUUAAAUAUUUUAUCUAGAAAAAUCUUCCCAAAGUUAUAAAUAGCGCCUAGCUAUGAGUUCCAGCAUCAACCUCGGAGAAGUGCUUCCAGCUUUAUGACUGAGUUUGUGUGCCUGUGGCCAAAUGGAUUUGGAAUGGAAACUUUUUUUUUUUUUGUCAUCUGGCUUAUUGUUGUUUCCUUCUGUGGCCACAGUGUUUGUCUGGGCCAUGGGAUUACUCGAUCAAUCAAAUAUUUAUUGAGUAACCAGACGACCAAUGGAAAAACUAGGCUUGGAUCAUAUUGUACAGAUCAUACUAUGUGUCUUAAAGUCUUAAGGCAGUUGUGCUCACUAAUGGUCAUCUCUUUUUUUGGGAGCUUAGAAAAGGAUCCAUUUGGAAAAAGAGAAGUCUCCAUGCAGAAGCAAAUACCUUCCUCUGACUUUUGGCAAACAAAAUAUUCGCAAAUUCCGUCGCCCUGUUCUAAUAUCUAUUUAUAAAUGUUUCUCUCCAUUCUAGAGGUUUUCUCUGUAAUAUGUGCACCAUGCCAAUGACAUCCUUUAAAGCUGGAAGUUUUCAGAAUUAAAUUCUGGUUUCCUUAAUUUACUAUAGGAAUACGUCCCUAGAGACUGUAAGUCCAACAUAAAUGAUGUGUGUGUCGGAAGGCGAGUAUAUACACCCUUAUGUUUUUUGCUAAAUGGGUGUAGAGUCACGAGUGCUAUUUAUCAAUAUUUCCGCGUCUCCUCUUUUUGGGGAUGUGGAAAGAUGUCAGUCGUCUGCCCACUUGAAGUUAGGGUGGUAGGCCAGCUGACUGCUUCGGCCAGUGAAAUGUGAGCAAAACUGAGAGGUGCCCCUUUUGGGUAGGUGGUCAACUUCUCAUGUUCCCUUCCAUCUUCCAUGAUCAUUGGUAAUGUUCUAGCCGGUAGAGAUUUGAUCAGCAUGCAUCCAGAGGAGAGAAUAAAAUAAAGAAGGGUCCCCCAGUGACCUGAAAUGGACAUGUAGCAAGAGAGGGAAAUAAUGUAUUCUAGGCCAUUGAAAUAUCAGGGUUGUUUUUCCUCUAGCAUAGCUUUGCAUAUGCUGAAUAAUACAAAAAUCGGUCUAUAGAAGUGGGCCACUGCUAUAGCAAAGACCUAAAACAAAUGACCUAAGGGCCAGGUAGGGGGUGGCAAGGACACUACGCCUGCAGUAAUUUGGGACGUACAUUUUACUCCUAAAGCAGGGGCCAGUGAAAACCCAACCCUGCAUCAGGGGACCCAUGAAGGGUAUGGCCAUCAUACUCCUUGUUAACACCCGUCGAUGAAUUAAGGUGUCUUUGAGCAAAGUUCCAUUAAUGGUGUGGGGUCCAAAAAAUCUUCUCACUUGCACAGAAAGGCUUGGGGAAAAGAGACGAAGUACAUACUCAGCUCUCUCAUUGAAGCCUGAUGGCCUCGGGGAGUUGAAAUUAAACUGAUAAACAGAGUCAUGGGAGCAAGAAAGCAAAGAAAUACAGUAAACACGAGAAUUCUGUCUCAAAAAGAACUGUGGCUAUUGCCAUGAGGAGCUGACGGGAAGACGAUACAUGAGAAGCUGUUUUUGACAAAAGAAGUAUUAAUCAGGGGUACCUGGGUGGCUCAGUCGGUUGAACGUCCAACUUCGGCUCAGGUCAUGAUCUCACAGUUUGUGGGCUCAAGCCCUGCAUCAGGCUCUGUGCUGACCACUUGCUCAGAGCCUGGAGCCUGCUUCAGAUUCCGUGUCUCCUCUCUCUGCCUCUCCCCCGCUCACGCUUUGUCUCACU
rnacentral:lncRNA from 1 species